GAAAUCCCCUGCUCGGUCGUUUGUCUGCUGGUCCCGCCGCUGAGAAAAUCCACCGUUCGCUGCCUCGCUCUGUCCGCGGUCCCCGUCGCCGCCACCCCCUUCGUCUAUGUCCGCCGUCCCCACGUUCGGGCCACCUCGCCGACACUGGCGCCUCCGCUCCUCCGAGAUGUAAUUGCCUCUCUCUCCCAUAGUGUGGAGAUGGGUGCAUAGGAAGGUUAAGACGGCGGCCAGGCGACGGAGUGUGGACCUGCGGACACAAAUCGCCAUAGCCGGUCGUGGGGGCGCUAGGUAGUGCUGUGAACAAGGGGACGAACCAGGUCGUUCCUCACCUCAGCCUCGGACGUGGGCUCCAUAGCCGUCCCCUCCGCACUGGCCUCUUGGAGGCCGACGCCAUCUUCACGAAUUCUCUUUUGAUGAGCUCCAAAUGUGGCACCAUGGUUGAUGCUCGCAACGUGUUCGACAAAAUACCCACUGCCUAUUCGACAAGAUGUUGCCUGCAGGGCUCCAAGUGCCUUCACGGUAGCACAGCUUCUUCAUCUUUAUUUUUCAUUGGUGGCUGGUCUUCUGAAGGACAACAGCAGGGUCCCUGGACACCGGCAAAACACGCUCCAUCUACACCUACAGCGCUCCUUGCUCCGAUGGUGCCCUCGAGCGCUGCCUCUUGCUCAUGAUAGAUGCCUUCGCCAAUAAGCAGCUUGCAGGUGAAAAAGGCGUCUCCGAAGCAGGGCAUAGCACUUAACUAGAUGAGGCAGAGGCUGAAGCACCUGUGGGGCCCCAUAAAUAUGGCCAUGAUCAGCAAGAGGCAGGCACCCGAGGGUGUCGGAGUGACGCAAGUAGCAGCUGCAGGCGCAAAUCAGUGUUGCUGCCAUUCAAGGCCCCUGCCAUCAUGCACUGGAUCAUCGUGCUUAUCUUUCAUACAAAUUUAACCAAGUUAACAACAUUCCGAUGCAGCUUUUGAACUGUAAUAUAACACUUCACUGCUGCACGUACCCAAUAGUGUUUGUAAACAUUUUUAAGAACUUGUACCUGACUUGUGUUAUCUCGGUCACAGUUCUGACCUUUUGAACUCAUGGAGUUAAUUUGUUGUAAUAUAACCAAAGUCUACGAAUCUUUUGAUGUAAUAUACACAAUAUCUUAGACAUAACAGAUGACCAACUGUUCUAUC